UAAUUCUGUUGGCUGAGCACAACGGAUAACUCAACUCGGUUCAACACGCUUUUUCAAUUCAAACUCGCAAUCAUACUGGCCUAUUUUGAAAGUGAACCCUUUGAAAUAUUCUAGUGUAUUUUUUAUUUUGUCGUUUCAAAAGCAUCCGCAAUAAUAGAAGAAGGCUGAGUCAAACAUUAGAUCAGAAGGAUGUGUUCCAAGUAAAAAGGUUUGAGAUGUGUUUCUACUACAAAAGUUCAGGAUGUAUCUGUACCAGAGUUCAUAGAUAGAUUAUAUAGGAGCAAGCCUCUUUACGACCUGUGCACCGCGACCAGUGUUGGUCUAUUGCAUACCUCUACCAGAGGUGUAUGUCUCAAACAGGAGUUUAAGUUUCCUCAAAUACAGAUUUUGGGUGUAUCUCAACAAAACAAGUUUGGGGUGUAUCUCAACUAGAGGAGUGGGAUAAAUGUCAGCUACAAAGGUUUCGGAUAUAUCUCAACUACUAAGGUUUGUGAUGAGCUUUAACUAGAGGUUUUGAAUGUAUCUCAACCAGAGAAUUGGUGUAGGUCUCAACCAGAGAUAGUGAGUUAAUCAGGCAAUGUUAGAAAAAGACGGAGAAUCAAACCUUUGAUCAAGAAGGCCUCCUUCUAACCACAGAACACCAUAUAGACUAAGAUUUGCACGAGUCUGCCAAUCGUGGAUUGUAGAGGAAUGGAAAAGUCCUAUUCACCGAUGAGACGAGACCCUUAACAGUCUAGAUGAUCUAUCGGCAGUUCGUGAGUUUUCCAAAGUGAAUAGCAGUACAGCACUUCCGAUAUACACGUGUACCUCGAACUUUAAAAUUGCUCAUACGACAAAAUCGACCGGAUUCAUCGCCAUGUCGCCCAGAAAAGCAAUGCGCCUGAAGUUAAGGAGAGUUGGACUUUGCUAAAAUGUCUUGCAAUUGUAGUCCAGGACCGACAAGGGCUGAUAUAAAUAGAUGGGCUAGAAAUCCAAAAUCAGUUCUGGAGUGCGAAACGGGUUUUGAUCAGUUCCAAGAGUUUUUACUCAGUAGGCAGUUUGAUCAGGAACUAUCUACUGUUGAGUUUUAUAAAAAAGCAGCUGACACUCGUAAAAUACUUGUUCAAAACAAUGAUCUCCCAAGAAAUACUGUUAUACAAAAUAUCGAGUAUUUACUGACAUUGGCUGAUGAUGUAAACUUCGAUGGAGCACAGAUGAGAGUCCUCUAUCGAAUGAGAAAAUCUCGAAGCAAUAGAGAAAUUAUCAAAAUUUUAGAUGAAGCUCGUCAAGCCGCUAGUGAUCUUCUGACAGACGUACAUGAAGCUUUCAUCGAUUCUCUUGAAACUAAAAUGACCAGAUCAUGCUAAAGUACAGACAAUUUUUGUAGAAUAUACAAUUAAUAUGUCCAUAAUCUGUCUUGUAAACAAUUAAAAUUAAAUUUAUCACAAGUUUGAAUUA